rnacentral:lncRNA from 1 species
CCGAAUCUAUUUUAAAUUAUUAUCUUUUCUUGCUUUAUGUUUCAAUGUUCCAGAUCAAAAAUACGGUGCCGAAUCAAUCAAAUACAUUUCAUAUCAAAAGCAAAUAUGCUCAAUCACCAUACAAUAUUCUAAAAGUAGACAAUAACACCUUGCAUCAAUUUUGUAAUUAAGAAUAAUGCAAAUCGUAAAAUAGAUAUAGAUUGCUGAUAAAUCUCGAAAAGAGGUUACAUUACUUACCUUGUGAACGCGAUCCACAACAAAUCCAAUUAAUUCUGUAAAUCCCUCGCAGAACCUAAUAUCCAAAAAUCAUAUUCUUCUUUUAAAAUUCAUCACAAUAUAUGUAUACAAAAACUUAAAUUUUAAUAUCCUCCCAUGACUGAUCCUACCGAAGUGCCUAGCACCCCGAGUUCGAGUUCAUACCUGUAAACCACCCCCUC